rnacentral:rRNA from 1 species
GGAUUGCCCCGGGCCCCUCGCGUGCCCCGGAUCAGGCGCCCACCUAUGAACUUUGACUCUUGUGUAUUUUGAAUCUUUUGAGUAAUUUUUACAAAUAAAUAAAAACUUUCAACCACAAAUCUCUUGGUUCUGGAAUCCCUGAACAACGCAGCGAAAUGCGAUAAAUAAUAUGAAUUGCAGAAUUCAUUGAAUCAUCGAAUCUUUGAACGCCCCUUGAGCCCGCCGGUAUUCUGGCGGGCAUGCCUGUCUGAGCGUCAUUUCAACUCUCAUGCCCCUAGGGAGUGGUGAUGGGGAUCGGCCCAAGCCCGCAAGGGACGGCCGGCCCCUAAAUAUAGUGGCGGACCCGUCGUGGCCUCCUCUGCGAAGUAGUGAUAUUCGGCAUCGGAAAGCGAUGAGCCCCUGCCGUUAAACCCCCAACUUCCAAGGUUGACCUCAG